CACUAUUACCACAGCAUAUCACACCAAUUCCAUGCGAUCUUCAAAAGACAUGCAUUCAGACUUUUGAUAACCGAGCGCAUGCAGCGGGUUUCAGGUGAAGUGGAAAGCCCCUGCCUGGUUACAGCUCACUGGCUGUCAGAGUGCAGCUUGAAUUCAAGGCAAGGAGUUUUAUUUUUGGUAUGGAAAAGGGGUAGGUCACCAUGUCCUGUUGCUCUGUUCUACUAAUCUUCCGCCAACACAUUUGGAGUUGGACCCUUCAGCUGCACACUUAACUGCACAGUAAAUUUUGCACAGAUCAGCAUCAUCUCUCAUCUCUAGCCUCACCGUGUUGAAAUGCUGAUGGCUUUAAGUUAUGGUAGUCAGCCUAAUCUGCUUCCACAGCAAUACCCUCCUCCUCUACUGCCAAAACCAGGGCCAGGCAAUGCCCGUCUGCAAAAACUCCUGAAGAAAAGUGCUAAGAAGAAAGUCGGCUCUUCCUCUCAGACGCCCAUCCCAUUCAGGUCGAACUUGUCGCCAGUA